UUGACAUCCAGCGAACUUUCCAGAGGAUGGAUUGGUGCCUUCGGGAACGCUGAGACAGGUGCUGCAUGGCUGUCGUCAGCUCGUGUUGUGAAAUGUUGGGUUAAGUCCCGCAACGAGCGCAACCCUUAUCCUUUGUUGCCAGCGAUUCGGUCGGGAACUCAAAGGAGACUGCCGGUGAUAAACCGGAGGAAGGUGGGGAUGACGUCAAGUCAUCAUGGCCCUUACGAGUAGGGCUACACACGUGCUACAAUGGCGCAUACAAAGAGAAGCGACCUCGCGAGAGCAAGCGGACCUCAUAAAGUGCGUCGUAGUCCGGAUCGGAGUCUGCAACUCGACUCCGUGAAGUCGGAAUCGCUAGUAAUCGUGGAUCAGAAUGCCACGGUGAAUACGUUCCCGGGCCUUGUACACACCGCCCGUCACACCAUGGGAGUGGGUUGCAAAAGAAGUAGGUAGCUUAACCCUCGGGAGGGCGCUUACCACUUUGUGAUUCAUGACUGGGGUGAAGUCGUAACAAGGUAGGCGUAGUGCU
rnacentral:rRNA from 1 species